CGAGGAAUCUUGCGCAAUGGGGGAAACCCUGACGCAGCAACGCCGCGUGAGUGAGGAAGGCCUUCGGGUCGUAAAGCUCUGUCAGAUGGGAAGAAAUGGGUGGGGGCUAAUAUCGUCCAUCCUUGACGGUACCAUCAGAGGAAGCACCGGCUAACUCCGUGCCAGCAGCCGCGGUAAUACGGGGGGUGCAAGCGUUGUUCGGAAUCAUUGGGCGUAAAGCGCGCGCAGGCGGCUUGGUCAGUCAGAUGUGAAAGCCCUGGGCUUAAACCAGGAAGUGCAUUUGAUACUGCCUCGCUAGAGUACGGGAGAGGAAAGUGGAAUUCCUGGUGUAGAGGUGAAAUUCGUAGAUAUCAGGAGGAACACCGGUGGCGAAGGCGACUUUCUGGCCCGAUACUGACGCUCAGGCGCGAAAGCGUGGGGAGCAAACAG
rnacentral:rRNA from 1 species